UUGUAGCGUGUUCAAGUAACCAAGGAAUAUAGUAUCAAAUAAGUAUAAGAUGUGCACAGUUAUGAUAAGUUUUACAGUUAUGUAAUGUACUGUUGUUGGGGGGAGAGACCGCCCCUUCCAUAUGAGCAUGAGGCGUGCAUGACGGGACGAGUUAUGUUCUUAUGUGGAAAAGUCAUACAGUGCGGUGAAUGCUGGCUUUAUUGCUACUGUAUCCGUAGCGCCCCACGCAAUAGUUGGGACUGUGUACUGAUGUCAGUAAAAAAGGUUUGUCCCCCCAAUCGCAAAUGUCAAACUCCGCCUAUGAGCUGCACGUCUUCUGACUGGCCACAAAAAGCGUGACCACAUCACCCCAAUUCUGGCCUCACUACACUGGCUUCCAAUUCAGUUCCGAAUUGAUUUUAAAAUCCUUUUAUUUGUUUUCAAAGCCCUAAAUGGGCUGGUUCCUGCCUAUAUAGCCAAACUCCUCCAUCGCUACACCCCAGCCAGAGGUUUAAGGUCUGCUGACCAGCUGUUGCUGAUAGUGCCCAAGACCAGGCUCAAAACCUGAGGUCACUGAGCCUUCGCAGCAACUGGCCUCAGGCGCUGGAAUAGUCUGCCCCUCCAUGUGAGGUCGGCCCAGACACUAGGGUUUUUUAAAUCCUCACUAAAGACUCACUUCUUCUCCCAGGCCUUCUAGUCAGAGCGGAGCAUGACACCUGACUAUUCCCUGUGUUUUUGUUUUUUAUAUUUCUGUUGUAAAUUAUUGUCUUUUAUUGAGAUAGUAAUGUGUUUUUAUUACAUGUACAGCACUUUGGCUCAACCUGACUAUUCCCUGUGUUUUUGUUUUUUAUAUUUCUGUUGUAAAUUAUUGUCUUUUAUUGUGAUAGUAAUGUGUUUUUAUUACAAGUACAGCACUUUGGCUCGACCAAAGUCUUGAACCAGCAAGACCAGCCUGGCCAGCUUGUCCAGCCUGGUAAACCAACUAAACCAGCCUAACACCAGCUAAAACCAGCCAAGCAACCCGGGAAACUGGCUAUGGACGUUUGUUCACUUUCUUCUAGCUCUUAUUAUUAUUUAUAACAUCUGUUUUUGUGUUUAAUCCAUAGAGCUGAGUAUGAGCAUUUCCCCUCCUGGAUUGAGCCAGGAGGAUCUAUUACUCUGUCAAAGCUCCUCUCCCUCUGGGGGAACCUUGUCUGCUUUCAGUGUAGGGACUGCAUGGUGUGACACUUUAAAAGGUUAGCAGGCAUUGUGACCUAGUGGACCAGACCUGCCCAUCUGAGGAGGGAAAACCCACCAUGUAAUAGUGUAAAGUAUGUUUACCCGUUGACUGCUGCUGAACAUUGACAUUUUAACAUGUAUAUUUGUGAAAUAAAGC